GGUGACGUGGCCGAGUGGCUAGGCAGAGGCCUGCAAAGCCUCCUACGGCGGUUCGAAUCCGCCCGUCACCU
rnacentral:tRNA from 3 species